AUUGAACGCUGGCGGCAUGCCUUACACAUGCAAGUCGAACGGCAGCACGGGAGCAAUCCUGGUGGCGAGUGGCGAACGGGUGAGUAAUAUAUCGGAACGUGCCCAGUCGUGGGGGAUAACGCAGCGAAAGCUGUGCUAAUACCGCAUACGAUCUACGGAUGAAAGCGGGGGAUCGCAAGACCUCGCGCGAUUGGAGCGGCCGAUAUCAGAUUAGCUAGUUGGUGAGGUAAAGGCUCACCAAGGCGACGAACUGUAGCUGGUCUGAGAGGACGACCAGCCACACUGGAACUGAGACACGGUCCAGACUCCUACGGGAGGCAGCAGUGGGGAAUUUUGGACAAUGGGCGCAAGCCUGAUCCAGCAAUGCCGCGUGCAGGAUGAAGGCCUUCGGGUUGUAAACUGCUUUUGUACGGAACGAAACGGUGAACUCUAAUACAGUUUGCUAAUGACGGUACCGUAAGAAUAAGCACCGGCUAACUACGUGCCAGCAGCCGCCGUAAAAC
rnacentral:rRNA from 1 species